GGGCCCCUGGGCGCCCGGCGCUUGCUCAGUAGUCAGUGUAGAUCCUGUGGGGCUGACAGCAGCUACAUCUGGCUACUGGGUCUCCGCCGACGGCCCGCACGAGUCC